rnacentral:rRNA from 1 species
GAUAAACGCUGGCGGCGUGCCUAAAACAUGCAAGUCGAACGGCACCUUUCGGGGUGUAGUGGCGGACGGCUGAGUAACACGUGGGUGACCUGCCUUCGAGCGGGGGAUAACUGCCCGAAAGGGUGGCUAAUACCGCAGAUGUUGCGUCUUCGUUGAUGUAACUGAACUUGAGGGGUUCGGAGAGGGGCCUGCGUCCGAUUAGCUAGCUGGUGGGGUAACGGCCUACCAGGGCGACGAUCGGUAGCUGGUCUGAGAGGAUGAUCAGCCAGACUGGGACUGCGAACGGCCCAGACUCCUACGGGAGGCAGCAGUUAGGAAUUUUGGGCAAUGGGCGAAAGCCUGACCCAGCAACGCCGCGUGGGUGAUGAAGGCCCUCGGGUCGUAAAGCCCUUUUCCCAGGGAAGAUAGUGACGGUACCUGGGGAAUCAGCCCCGGCUAACUACGUG